rnacentral:lncRNA from 1 species
UAAUCCAGUGACUCUAUAUAGCGUAUUAGCGAAGAAAGAAUUUUUUCUUGGCGAAACCGGUUCCAAUCGACAAGAAUUAAUCAGAAAUCGAUAAUAAUCCGCUGCUGAGAGGUCGAGGAUAAAAGGAACGCCGAUUGAGCGUUUUCUCGACCGCGUGGAUAGUCGGCCACAAAGGCCGGAUGCCAUCGGCGGUGCACGCAGGUGGGCACAGUUCUAAUGCCAGAGACGCUUUGCAUUGCACGUGGCAUUGCAAGGCCAACCGGCCACAAGAAAUCGUCGUCAGGAAUAUCGGGGCCUGGCGACCAGUUCGAGGCGUAGAAAACACCGCCGCGAUGCGAACAGAUAUGUUUCGUUUCGAGAAAAAUCGGUUGCGUAAUCACGCGAUAUCGUCGCAAGAUCAUCGGCUACCUCCAUCAACCAACCAGUUUCCAUACGAGCAGUAUGUAGUCGUGUUCAGUCGAGACAGACUACUGUAACGGAGCGAAACGGAGACGUUCAGUUCGCAACGACGCCACAUAAAAUCGUCUGAUGUAAGUGGCAUGAUUUCACACCGGACCACUUCACCAAAGAUUAUAUUUCUGAUAAUUGAAGAGUUCGCGAGAAAGGCGAUUAAGUACAGUGUCGUAAAAAGUAAAAUUUUUAGUAUUUGGGAUUUCGUGAACUUCUUCUCGUUGUACAAAACUCAAGGUUUAAUAUGUUCCUUUCUUACAAUAUGAAUGCCUCUUCAUUAAUACUUAAAUUUUAAGAGAAGGAUUACGACUAUUUUUCCUCGGAAUACUUUAAUUGUUUUUCUUUCGCACGAGAAACCCGAGUUGUAGCGCAACAUGUGAUGAAGGUUUUAUUGUAUGCGGGAAAUGUAGUUCAUAGAUUAAAUAGUGACCCAGAUGUAAUUGAACUUAAUCCGGAGAUACCAAGAUAUGAGGAAACAUGAUAUUAAAUGGACGCUCUCGGCAAACCGUUCGGCAAAGAUUUCUACGUCACCGGAAAAUCGCCCGCAGGUUUUGCCGGCUGAAUGAAAAACGAGGUCAGCUUCUCGAAGCGUUGCCUUUUCAAUCCUCAAAGAGUUCGUUGCCGAGUUUCUUAGCUUCUCGCCCCUGUAUGGAUGCUCGCGAGCGCGACUGCAUUUUCCCCGAGUUCUUCCAUUCCAGGCGAUACCACUUUUUUUCACGUUCCCCGUCAUGACUUUCAUGGUCAUUAACAUCGAAGAAGGAGAGACUCGUUGCUAAAGUUUCUGCAGAAGACCCGUCUGUUUGUUUCAUUGUUUGUGCAAACUCCUGACCGAUUGUUUUUCACCUCUGAUUUUGAUCUAUAUCAUGACGAAGCGCAAAACCACGACUCGAGUUGGAAAGACAUAAUUGUCCUUAAUGCAACGACUAUGCGGUUGUAUAAUUUUUUAGUAUACCAUCAAAUUUGUUUUCUUCAUUUGUGUACGAAAUAACUGGACACUUUGUUCUUCUUUAUAGUGAAAUGUAAUGGAAAAUACAAAUAUGAUUUUUCUAUGGAAUAUCAUUUAGAGUCAUACGAUAGUUGGAUGAAAUAGCAUUAAAUUAUUGAAAUUUACCAGUCGCUUUUUCCAAUCCACGGAAAACUACUAUUAAUAAUGGCAAAAAUAUAAACAUGUAGACACUAUAAUAACAGUACUACUCACAUGCCUUUUCUUCAAGCUUCUUGUCGAAGUUUUGCCCGAGCUAGAAUUAAACAUAACUAACUGCAUAACGCUAAAUAACCAGGUACCAAAAUAAAAAAGUAUAAUUAUAGAAGAAAGACAGAAAAAAUUAACAACACCAAGAAUCAUUACUCCUAUCAUUAUUCUUAAAAGUGUUACAAUAUACCAUACCCUAUACCACACGAUCGUAAAGUUAAUUACCGCGUUCGCAACGCG